UGCUGAAACUGAUCGGAAGCGGAUGGUGUACGAUCCUUAUAUGGAAACGGGCUAAAGGGACAGCACUCUCAUCAAGAGGGUUUCCCUGACUCGGAUCCUUUUGUAAACAAACGCCAUAAAGUUGAAGUAACUCAAUCAGUUUAGAGCCAAGUCAUGCCAGACACCGAUGCCCAGAAAGUACAGGUCCCCAGUCCAUCAUGGUGUACAGUCACUGUCCAAUGUACACCAGAAGCAUGGCACACCAUGCUUCACAGUAUGAGGUCCCACAAUGAUUAUAUGGAAGAGUAUAAAUGCGACGAAACCCUUUCCAUUUUCAUAUGAAAUCUCUGUAAAAAACAGAGUCGAUGAUGGUACGAUUCUGACUAAAUCAUGAGCACGGGUUAAUGAAUCGCUAUCAAAUAGUGAUAAUACCAGGUGUUCGCGAAAGGUGAGAGUAUCCUGCCCCACCGGUGGCAGAAGAAAUCCCUGGUGUUGAGAUCCUUUUUCAAUGUGUGCAAAUUGUGUUUAUUUUCAUGCAGAGUUACAAGUCAUAAAAUAUUAGAAUGUCUUGUGAGGAAAUGUGCUUCAGACAACAAGAGAGCUGUACUUUUGAAAGAGUCAACCAGUGCACUAACAAGUUGCCACUGAGCAUUUAGCCAGUGCUUGUGAUAUUUUCUUCAGUCUUUUCCCCCGCCUUUGCCCUUGCCCCAAACUACCUCAUCCAGCAUCAGCCACCCUGUUUUACAGAAACUUAUCAAAUGAAACAGCAAAAGCUGAUUGUUGUCAGAGACCAUAAAACAAGAUUGCAAUGAAAAAAGUUUAUUUUAAUGAGCAUAGAGGAAAACAUUACAUACAUCAGAUGGAAAUCUUUCACGAAUCACCUCGACAACACAAGAUGGAAUAACUUUUCUCUGAUUCUUCAACUAUUUCUGCAAAUCCCCAAAGUAAACCUCUUGUUUAUGAGGUGUAGAUAGAUUCUGAAAUGAAAAAGUGUCUUUUAUUAGUCAAGCUAUACACAACAUUACAAAAAAUAUCAUAACAUUUACGUAUAUAUUUUUGUCAUUCAAUCUGGAGGGAUGCCUAUAUAAGAAGUAACUUGUAUUGAUGAUAUAUGCAUAAUUUUUAUUACAUGUUAAUAAUUCAAUAAAUACCAAAACAGUUUAUAGUUCUAUCAUGUUGACAUGAUGUGUUUAUUACUAUAAGUUUGAAUACUUCUUGAAAUAUUGUGGGCAUGUUUCAAUAUCACUGAUGUAAUUUAAUAACCUUACAAGUUACAUAUGUUUUCACAACUUGCUGGCAAAUAAACAUUUAUGGUACUGUAGAUUUAUUUUACUUGUCAGAUUUGUUUGUUGUGCAUCAUAGAUCUUAAAAUGCAUAAUAAAAUAAAUUGAUGAAAAUAAAUCAUAUUAUAUGUUUUCUAAACUAUAUUUCAAGUGUUAAUAUAAAAAAGGGUGGUGGGGUAGCCUUGUGGUGAAAGCGUUCAAUCGUCACCCUGAAGACCCAAGUUCGAUUCCCCACAUGGGCACAACAUGUAAAGCCCAUUUCUGGUGUCCCCCAGUUGUGAUAUUGCUGGAAUAUUGCUAAAAGCGGCGUAAAACCCUACUCGCUCACUGAUAUAAAAAAAUGAUUGCAUAUUUCAUUUGCAUUUUAGGGGGUGGUUGUUACAGACGUUUUGCUCAAAAGGUCAGGUCGGGAGGUCCAAAUUUCCAAACAAAGAUUUACAAUUUCAAAUAUUUUUCACUAAUAUUCAACAAGUUUUACUUAUAGUUUCUGAGAUAAUUUAUAUGUAUUGAUUGUGACAGUAAAUGAGCUUUUUGUAAACAUUUUACAUAUAUUUGGUCCACUCAGUUAAACAACCCACUGUUUUUUAUAAUUAAUUAUAUAUUAGAUAUUUCUUCUUUUUUAUAGUUUCUAAACGUUUUUAAAAAAUCUGGCCUCAUAAUAGAUGAUAAAUAGUUUCCCUGCAAAGUUGCAAUGCAUUUUCUAUGAAUGGCUGUCAGAACAAACCAAUAACCAAUUAUCUAUA
rnacentral:lncRNA from 1 species